rnacentral:other from 1 species
AGUCCCCUGCCCUGCGCGUGACUGAUGUAACUUGUACCUCGUAAUGAUUUCAAUAGGGAGCUGUCCCGGGAAAGGGUGUGCAUGCCCAGAUAAGACUGGGUAGCCUAACUUUCCUUCAUGGCGCCCACCUGGUUAACUCCAGGUCCAAGUUAUCAGCACGGCAAGAGCGGGGGUUUU